UUAUUUUAUUUAGUGUAUAGUUUAAUUGAUUUACAGAAAAUUGCAUCAUAAAACAAUAAAAAAACAUUUUGUACUACAAUUCUGCGGGGGCAUCUGUUUCCUUUGGACACGUCAAACUUUCUUAAUUAUGUGUAAUUGAUUCUAUGACAUGUGUUUACAUUUGCUGCAGAUUCCCAUUCAGCCAUUGGACUGAACCGGUACCAAGACCGGAACUGUAACACAGUAAGGAUGGUCAAUAUGAAGCGAGCUUCAUUGAAUUCCUCCAAGAGCUCUGUACUCUGUUCUGAUCAUUUUGAAGAUGCUUGCUUUGACCUGGGCAGACGAUACGUCUUAAACAGGAUGCUGUCCCAACCAUAUUUGAUUUCCCGCCUCGUCUUCAGAAGAAUUCACCCAAACCAAGGUAUUUCCCAAAAGACUUUUCGAUUCAGCAAACAACCUCCCAGAUACUGCAAAGACACCAGUGCCAAAGUCUUCAGCACCUUAAUUUCUCGAAGACCACUCCUACUGAAUACCAGAAAGUCCAAGAGGGGUAAAGUGGAAGUCAACAACAAUAAUGGACUGUAUUAAAACUUGGAGAAGAGGCUGAAAACCACACAGAAGUCCUACCUUAUACAUUACUUGCUUUUAAGUUUGGACAAACAUUGAUUUGCACAACUUUACAACAAAAAAUUUACGCUGUGUGGAUUCUGAUUAUUUAAAAUAGCUCAAUGAAAACGUUUAUCACUGGGCAUGUAACAAAAAUGAAUUCAUUGAAUUUGAAGAUGUCUUACAGUAUAUUCAUUCUGAUUUGAAUGUCAGAAGAGAAAAAAGUUUGUGAAAAGUAGGAAUGACGGCAAGCUGACAGAAGAAUAGAAUACAUGUAGGAUAGAACAAGGCCACAGUUAUAAAUGAGCUGUUGGAUAGAGACAAAAAGAUGAAUUAAGAAUGGGGGUGAUAGAGAAAUAGAGACAGGAAUUGGGGAGCCUGUGAUGAAUGCCUGAGAAAGUAAAAAUUACCAUAUUUUAUUUUUUUAAGGAUUUGAACAGUC